AACCUUAAGCUCAUAUCGAAAUAUCGUCGCUGUCAGAAAACCGCCACUUUACGGCCUUAUGACAUAAAUAUCUAUUUUUACAACUAUCAUAAUCA